rnacentral:rRNA from 1 species
UAUGUAGUUGGCGGGGCAACGGCCCACCAAGGCGACGAUGUCUAGGGGUUCUGAGAGGAAGGUCCCCCACACUGGUACUGAGACACGGACCAGACUCCUACGGAAGGCAGCAG